AAAAUCCGCUCAUAGUCCACCGAUUGAACGAUUUUUAAAACUCAUAAUUUAGGAGCCAGAAAGAAUAUUUAAAUAAAACUAGUCUCAAUUAAUUCUUUAGGUUUCACAUUUUUAUUUGAACCUUCAAAAGUUCAAGAAUUCUGCCUAGAAGUCAACAAAUUUAUUUUUUUUAAUUGUCACAUAUCAAUUAGUUCUAUCUUUUCACAGCUAGAUGAUGAUAAGAUACAAUUGAUUAAAUCUUAUACAUAUUUUUUAAAUAGUAUAUUAGGUAAUCUAUUUAUACAUCGAAUCAGUACUAAAUCCCUUACAGAUUAUACAAUGUAUUAUUUAUAUAUACGAUAAAUUAUAAAUCUGAUCUAACACCAAAUCCAGGUCCUGGUGGUGGUGAUGUCAAUGACGUUAAACCAGAUGCCGGAUCUGCUGCAAAUCUAGGAGAAUUUUGUGGUCCUGGUGGCGGUCUUUCACCUUUUUUAAAUGCAUUUAUUAUAGCUGUAGCACUUUCAGGCGUUAAAUCUUCCUUAAUCAUCAUUAACUUGAAACAUUGGUGCAUUAGCACAAGCACCAAGACAUUCUACUUCAGAAAUAGUAAAUAGUUUAUCUGCAGACAUUUCUCCAACUUUACAAUUUGUAGCUUUAACUACAGCUUCCACAAUGGAAUCAGAAUCUCGUAACCAACAUGGAGUACAGGUACAAAUUUGUACAUGAUAUUUUCCCAUUGGUCUUCUAUUGAACAUUGUAUAAAAUGUUGCAACUUCAUAGACUCGCAUGUGAGGGACAUCUAAUAUUUCCGCUACUUUGUGCAUAGCAGAAAUAGGUAACCAUCCAUGUUGACGUUGAGCCAGAUCUAACAGAGGUAUCAUCGCACCACGUUUAUGACCUUCAGGAUAAAUUUUUAAAAGAGCUGCGAUGCGUUUCUUGUUUGCUUCAUUGAAUUCAAAUGGUAUACUUGGAUUAUCAACUUCGCUAUCUCUAUGCUAUUCAAUAUAAAAUGAAUUAGCAUCGAUGUAAAAUAUUCAUUAAUUUCAUAUCUAUAUAAUAAUACAUACAAUAAAUAACUGAUCUGAGAUGCGAAUGGUUGAAGUAUAUAAUCCUCUAGCGUUCUUGCAAUUCUGUUUAGCCAAAAAAAGUAAAUAAGGCAAGAGUAUGAAUUAUACGCAAAGGUAAAAACAUGGUUUUAAGAUUAUUGUACAUUUAUUGUUAACAGUUAUUCGCUUCACUUUUUUGUUUCUGCGAAAUAAAUAUUUAAAUCGCAAUUUGAGAUAGAUCACAUUUCUUCGUUUAGAGCGUCACCUAUUGGGUCGAUUUAAAAUUAAAAAUUGCUAUUUUCAAAUUAGCGCUAAUUUUAAGUCAUCACAUGUGCAUAUACGUAUAUAAUAAGUGAGAAUAACAAUUUUAUUGUAGUUUGUAUUGGAGUUAAUAUAAAAUGUAAGAGAAAUUGAGAAUAAUAUCUAAACAUGACAAAAAAUAGAAAGUAAGAAAUACAUAUAAAAUAAUUCAAAUGAAAUUAUGAGAAUUACUUAUUACAAUAUUAUGCAAUUACUAAUUAAGUUGUAUUUGUGUUUCUAAAUUAGACCAAAGGCUGACUUAUAAUUUAAAUCAGAAGUAUAAACACAAAAUAAAAAUUACCACCUAAUGACAAAAUCCGCGGUCACUUAGUUGCCAACCCAAUAGAAAUAUUUAUCUUUUUACGAUUUCACUUUCCUCCUAAAUACAAACGCGCUUUUUUUUAUUGACGUUAGAUACAUGUUAUUUAUCAUUCCGCUUAGCAAUUGCAAAGGUGCGUAUAACAAAUUUAAACGAAUAGCUCCAUAUUGUUUUUUCAUCAAUAUUUUAUUAUAUAUUUUUAUUAAAAAUUUU
rnacentral:misc_RNA from 1 species